rnacentral:rRNA from 1 species
GGGUUGUGAGGUUAAGCGACUAAGCGUACACGGUGGAUGCCCUGGCAGUCAGAGGCGAUGAAGGGCGUGCUAAUCUGCGAUAAGCGCCGGUAAGGUGAUAUGAACCGUUAUAACCGGCGAUACCCGAAUGGGGAAACCCAGUGUGAUUCGUCACACUAUCAUUAACUGAAUCCAUAGGUUAAUGAGGCGAACCGGGGGAACUGAAACAUCUAAGUACCCCGAGGAAAAGAAAUCAACCGAGAUUCCCCCAGUAGCGGCGAGCGAACGGGGAGGAGCCCAGAGCCUGAAUCAGCAUGUGUGUUAGUGGAAGCGUCUGGAAAGGCGCGCGAUACAGGGUGACAGCCCCGUACACAAAAGCGUAUGUGCUGUGAGCUCGAUGAGUAGGGCGGGACACGUGGUAUCCUGUCUGAAUAUGGGGGGACCAUCCUCCAAGGCUAAAUACUCCUGACUGACCGAUAGUGAACCAGUACCGUGAGGGAAAGGCGAAAAGAACCCCGGCGAGGGGAGUGAAAAAGAACCUGAAACCGUGUACGUACAAGCAGUGGGAGCACCCUUUGGGGUGUGACUGCGUACCUUUUGUAUAAUGGGUCAGCGACUUAUAUUCUGUAGCAAGGUUAACCGAAUAGGGGAGCCGGAGGGAAACCGAGUCUUAAUUGGGCGUUAAGUUGCAGGGUAUAGACCCGAAACCCGGUGAUCUAGCCAUGGGCAGGUUGAAGGUUGGGUAACACUAACUGGAGGACCGAACCGACUAAUGUUGAAAAAUUAGCGGAUGACCUGUGGCUGGGGGUGAAAGGCCAAUCAAACCGGGAGAUAGCUGGUUCUCCCCGAAAGCUAUUUAGGUAGCGCCUCGUGAAUUCAUCUCCGGGGGUAGAGCACUGUUUCGGCUAGGGGGUCAUCCCGACUUACCAACCCGAUGCAAACUGCGAAUACCGGAGAAUGUUAUCACGGGAGACACACGGCGGGUGCUAACGUCCGUCGUGAAGAGGGAAACAACCCAGACCGCCAGCUAAGGUCCCAAAGUCAUGGUUAAGUGGGAAACGAUGUGGGAAGGCCCAGACAGCCAGGAUGUUGGCUUAGAAGCAGCCAUCAUUUAAAGAAAGCGUAAUAGCUCACUGGUCGAGUCGGCCUGCGCGGAAGAUGUAACGGGGCUAAACCAUGCACCGAAGCUGCGGCAGCGACACUCAGGUGUUGUUGGGUAGGGGAGCGUUCUGUAAGCCUGUGAAGG